UACGGAGGGAGCUAGCGUUGUUCGGAAUUACUGGGCGUAAAGCGCGCGUAGGCGGCCUUGCAAGUUAGAGGUGAAAGCCCGGAGCUCAACUCCGGAACUGCCUUUAAAACUGCAUAACUUGAAUCCGGGAGAGGUGAGUGGAAUUCCCGGUGUAGCGGUGAAAUGCGCAGAUAUCGGGAGGAACACCAAUGGCGAAGGCAGCUCGCUGGGACGUUACUGACGCUGAGACGCGAAAGCGUGGGGAGCAAACAGGG
rnacentral:rRNA from 1 species